UGGGGUAUUUUACACGCUACUUUGACGCCAUGUUGCUUCCAUCUAUUAUUUGAUUGGCCCGCAUUGAUGAGCAUUCGGCGGCCAUUUUGGCGGGAUAAAUCAAAUGUUUCAUUUGAAUUUGUUUUCCACGAUAAUGAUUUCGCCGACCGCCUGUGCGAGUAUUUAUGGCGUCGAUUUUGCCGCAAAAAUAAAGUCGAUAUGAUGGAAUCAUUAAUGGAGGCAAUUAAGAAACAAUAUAUUUUUAAAUAAGGUUGGUAGUAUGAUACAUAGGAACUUUGAAAGCUCAUCUAUGCGGGCCAAUCAAAUAAUAGAUGGAAGCAACAUGGCGUCAAAGUAGCGUGUAAAAUACCCUAAAAACGCGAACUUUACAUACUCAUAACUUUUGAACCGCUAAUUUCCUAAAGUUACGACCUACAUUUAUGGAUUUUACGUGUCAAAAACUAUUAAAGAGCAAAAAAAAG